GCACAAAUAGAAUCAUUCUACAAUGAUGUUCGCGGUAUGAUAAUCAAUUGGAUAUACUUUUAUACAAUACAAAAACUAUAUGCAUAUCUAUAUAAAUAAAAAAUUCUACACAACAAAUAAUAAAGUCAUGUGUGAGAAAGACACAGCCAUCAAAGAAGCAGACGCACCAACACAAUCAAUCCACAAUGAGGAUCAUGGUAAUGACGAAAUCAUAUUUGAAGAAGAUACAAACGAGGACGAACACAUGUUCUCUGGUCAAGAAUGGGGCAGAGAAGUGGAAAUUGAAAUCAAAGAAGACGAAGAAAUUCACAAGUCUGAUCCAUAUGAUUUUGUCUACAGUAACAUACCAAAAAAAACACAUGUGCUCAAACCGGAAGAGAAUUGCAGAUUAUGUCAUGCAAAAAAAUUCAAGUAUGAAACUAAGGGGUUAUGCUGCAGAAAAGGACAGAUAAGACUGGCCAAUCCAGAUACACCACCUGAACUCAUGAGACUUUGGACAAGCAACGACUCUGAUGCAAGACAUUUUCGGCAAAAUAUAAGAUUUUUCAAUGGACACUUCUCAUUUACUACUCUAUAUUGUCACCUUGACAGAGACACAACUGACAUGCGAACAGCUGGUAUUUACACCUUUCGAGCUCAUGGUCAGAUCUAUCACAACAUACAUUCAUUUGGUAAUAGUCA